AGAGUUUGAUCCUGGCUCAGGACGAACGCUGGCGGCGUGCCUAAUACAUGCAAGUCGAGCGAAUCGAUGGGAGCUUGCUCCCUGAGAUUAGCGGCGGACGGGUGAGUAACACGUGGGCAACCUGCCUAUAAGACUGGGAUAACUUCGGGAAACCGGAGCUAAUACCGGAUACGUUCUUUUCUCGCAUGAGAGAAGAUGGAAAGACGGUUUACGCUGUCACUUAUAGAUGGGCCCGCGCGCAUUAGCUAGUUGGUGAGGUAAUGGCUCACCAAGGCGACGAUGCGUAGCCGACCUGAGAGGGUGAUCGGCCACACUGGGACUGAGACACGGCCCAGACUCCUACGGGGGGCAGCAGUAGGGAAUCUUCCGCAAUGGACGAAAGUCUGACGGAGCAACGCCGCGUGAACGAAGAAGGCCUUCGGGUCGUAAAGUUCUGUUGUUAGGGAAGAACAAGUACCAGAGUAACUGCUGGUACCUUGACGGUACCUAACCAGAAAGCCACGGCUAACUACGUGCCAGCAGCCGCGGUAAUACGUAGGUGGCAAGCGUUGUCCGGAAUUAUUGGGCGUAAAGCGCGCGCAGGUGGUUCCUUAAGUCUGAUGUGAAAGCCCACGGCUCAACCGUGGAGG
rnacentral:rRNA from 1 species